rnacentral:snRNA from 1 species
AAAAAGGGCUCUGCGUGUCUACGCGAGCCGGACAGAAGUGUUCGGUUCGGAAUGGUCAUCAAGACAUUUCGAGGGCAUAUUCUUUGAACUUGGUCUGCCUGACAAUUACGGGCGGCCGU